CUACAGAGGGUGCGAGCGUUAAUCGGAAUUACUGGGCGUAAAGCGCGCGUAGGCGGCUACUUAAGUCAGAUGUGAAAUCCCCGGGCUCAACCUGGGAACUGCAUCUGAUACUGGGUAGCUAGAGUUUUGGAGAGGGAAGUAGAAUUUCAGGUGUAGCGGUGAAAUGCAUAGAGAUCUGAAGGAAUACCAGUGGCGAAGGCGACUUCCUGGCCAAAAACUGACGCUGAGGUGCGAAAGCGUGGGUAGCAAACGGGAUUAGAAACCCGAGUAGUCC
rnacentral:rRNA from 1 species